rnacentral:SRP_RNA from 1 species
GCCAGGCGUGGUGCCACGCGCCUGUGGUCCCAGCUACUCGGGAGGCUGAGGUGGGAGGAUUGCUUGAGCCCAGGAGGUCAAGGCUGCAGUGAGCUGUGAUGGUCCCACUGCACUCCAGCCUGGGCCACAGAGCAAGACUCUGCCUCAA